GAUAUCUACACCAACAGGCCUUUCAGAUUAGAGGGUCUAGAUAUCUACACCAACAGGCCUUUCAGAUUAGAGGGUCUAGAUAUCUACACCAACAGGCCUUUCAGAUUAGAGGGUCUAGAUAUCUACACCAACAGGCCUUUCAGAUUAGAGGGUCUAGAUAUCUACACCAACAGGCCUUUCAGAUUAGAGGGUCUAGAUAUCUACACCAACAGGCCUUUCAGAUUAGAGGGUCUAGAUAUCUACACCAACAGGCCUUUCAGAUUAGAGGGUCUAGGUAUCUACACCAACAGGCCUUUCAGAUUAGAGGGUCUAGAUAUCUACACCAACAGGCCUUUCAGAUUAGAGGGUCUAGGUAUCUACACCAACAGGCCUUUCAGAUUAGAGGGUCUAGAUAUCUACACCAACAGGCCUUUCAGAUUAGAGGGUCUAGAUAUCUACACCAACAGGCCUUUCAGAUUAGAGGGUCUAGAUAUCUACACCAACAGGCCUUUCAGAUUAGAGGGUCUAGGUAUCUACACCAACAGGCCUUUCAGAUUAGAGGGUCUAGAUAUCUACACCAACAGGCCUUUCAGAUUAGAGGGUCUAGAUAUCUACACCAACAGGCCUUUCAGAUUAGAGGGUCUAGAUAUCUACACCAACAGGCCUUUCAGAUUAGAGGGUCUAGGUAUCUACACCAACAGGCCUUUCAGAUUAGAGGGUCUAGAUAUCUACACCAACAGGCCUUUCAGAUUAGAGGGUCUAGGUAUCUAUACCAACAGGCCUUUCAGAUUAGAGGGUCUAGAUAUCUACACCAACAGGCCUUUCAGAUUAGAGGGUCUAGAUAUCUACACCAACAGGCCUUUCAGAUUAGAGGGUCUAGAUAUCUACACC